ensembl:lncRNA
AAUUACUGCUGACCACGCGUGGCCUGUGGCCAUCAGAAGAGGCUGGGCUCGGGAAGUGGAAAGGGUCAUGUCUGUCUCCACCCCACCCUCCUUCCCAGCCGGGUGGCCCCAUGACACAGCUGUGGCCAAGAGACCUACCGGGAGCUCUCUAGGAAACUUGUGUGUGUGUGUGUGUGUGUGUGUGUGUAUCUGUGUGUGUGUGUGUGUCUGUGUGUCUAUGUUUGUGUCUAUGUCUCUGCGUGUGUGUGUCUGUGUGUGUCUGUGUGUGUGCAUGUCUGUGUGUCUAUGUCUGUGUGUGUGUGUGUGUCUCUGUGUGUGUGUAUCUCUGUGUAUGUCUGUGUGUCUAUGUCUCUGUGUGUGUGCCUGUGUGUCUUGUAUGUGUGUGUGUGUAUGUGUGUGUGUGUGCGUGUCUGUGUGUCUAUGUCUGUGUGUGUGUGUGUCUCUGUGUGUGUGUAUCUCUGUGUAUGUCUGUGUGUCUAUGUCUCUGUGUGUGUGCCUGUGUGUCUUGUAUGUGUGUGUCUCUGUGUGUGUGUAUCUCUGUGUAUGUCUGUGUGUCUAUGUCUGUGUGUGUGUGUGUCUGUAUGUGUGUCUUGUGUCUGUGUGUGUGCAUGUCUAUGUGUCUAUGUUUGUGUGUGUGCAUGUUUGUGUGUGUGUGUCUCUGUGUAUGUCUGUGUGUCUAUGUCUGUAUGUCUGUGUGUCUGCGCGUGUCUGUAUGUGUGUCUUGUGUGUGUGUGUCGACGUUUGUGUGUGUGUCUGUGUGUGUGUGUCUAUGUUUCUGUGUGUGUGUCUGUGUCUGUGUGUGUGUCUGUGUGUGUGUAUGUCUGUGUGUCUAUGUCUCUCUGCGUGUAUGUCUGUGAGUGUCUGUAUGUGUGUGUGUCUGUGUGUGUGUGUCUGUGUGUAUGUCUGUGUGUCUAUGUCUCUGUCUGUGUAUGUCUGUGCGUGUCCAUAUGUGUGUCUUAUGUGUGUGUGUGUAUGUGUGUGUGUGUGUGUCUGUGUGUCUAUGUGUGUCUGUGUGUGUGUCUGUGUGUGUGCAUGUGUGUGUUUGGGUCUGUGUGUAUGUCUGUGUGUGUCUGUAUGUGUGUCUUGUGUGUGUGUCUGUGUGUGCCUAUGUUUGUGUGUGUGUCUCUGUGUGUGCAUGUGUCUGUGUGUCUGUGUGUGUUUGGGUCUGUGUGUGUGUCUGUGCGUGUGUGUGUGUCUGUGUGUGUCUGUGUGUCUAUGUGUGUCUGUGUGCCUGUGUGUCUAUGUGUGUGUGUGUGUCUGUGUGUCUGUGUGUGUGCGUGUGUGUGUUUGGGUCUGUGUGUGUGUGUGUGUGUGUCUGUGCGUGUGUGUGUCUAUGUUUCUGUGUGUGUGUGUCUGUGUAUGUGUGUGUGUCUGUGUGUCUAUGUGUGUCUGUGUGCCUGUGUAUCUAUGUGUGUGUGUGUGUCUGUGUGUGUGCAGGUGUGUGUUUGGGUCUGUGUGCGUGUGUGUGUCUGUAUGUGUGUCUUGUGUGUCUGUGUAUGUGUGUGUGUGUGUCUAUUCUGUGUCUGUAUGUGUGCGUGUCUGUGUGUCUGGGUUUGGGCCUGUGUCUGUGUGUCUUUGGAGGG